ACAGAAAAGGAGCUUGCUCCUUUGACGUUAGCGGCGGACGGGUGAGUAACACGUGGGCAACCUACCCUAUAGUUUGGGAUAACUCCGGGAAACCGGGGCUAAUACCGAAUAAUCUCUUUUGCUUCAUGGUAAAAGACUGAAAGACGGUUUCGGCUGUCGCUAUAGGAUGGGCCCGCGGCGCAUUAGCUAGUUGGUGAGGUAACGGCUCACCAAGGCGACGAUGCGUAGCCGACCUGAGAGGGUGAUCGGCCACACUGGGACUGAGACACGGCCCAGACUCCUACGGGAGGCAGCAGUAGGGAAUCUUCCACAAUGGGCGAAAGCCUGAUGGAGCAACGCCGCGUGAGUGAAGAAGGUUUUCGGAUCGUAAAACUCUGUUGUAAGGGAAGAACAAGUACAGUAGUAACUGGCUGUACCUUGACGGUACCUUAUUAGAAAGCCACGGCUAACUACGUGCCAGCAGCCGCGGUAAUACGUAGGUGGCAAGCGUUGUCCGGAAUUAUUGGGCGUAAAGCGCGCGCAGGCGGUCCUUUAAGUCUGAUGUGAAAGCCCACGGCUCAACCGUGGAGGGUCAUUGGAAACUGGGGGACUUGAGUGCAGAAGAGGAAAGUGGAAUUCCAAGUGUAGCGGUGAAAUGCGUAGAGAUUUGGAGGAACACCAGUGGCGAAGGCGACUUUCUGGUCUGUAACUGACGCUGAGGCGCGAAAGCGUGGGGAGCAAACAGGAUUAG
rnacentral:rRNA from 1 species